UACAAAGUUUCUCCGAGUAUUUAUCGAGUAUGUAUUCCGUAACUUGCAUUUGUACCAACGAUUCACAAAUUCGUCAAUAAGUUAUUUAUUUAUUUAUUUAUUCAAAAUAUAUUUGACGGACUGCGGCAGCAAUAUUUCGCUCUCGUUAUUUCGCUCGACCUAACAACGACUAAUCCUCCACAAAUAUGAUUUAUACUUCCUCGAAAACUAUUAUUUCUGCGAAUAAUGUCAUUCCUACGAGAAAAAAUAUGACGAAACACAAACGAACGCGUUUCAGAGUCAAAACGAGCUGUGAGCUGACUAUUAAGCUGUUAUGAAGAACGAUUUUCAAUCUUCUUAAAGGACGGCGAAUUCCUAAUGCGAGAUCGCCUAUAUCACCUUGGUAAUUGGGUCCCUUCAAAAGAGAACCGAAUGGCGGAAGAAGAAAAAUUCUAAAGUUUCAAGUUGCACAAUCCUUUGGAGAGAUCGUUUCUGACAGUAGGUCACCUUCCAUUGCCGGGUGCUGAGGUAAUUCGAGCAAUUUACUCGGACAACUCAAGCAGAUCGUUGACAAACCUAAUAAUUUCCUCUUUGUGUCCAAGAAUUGUGCAUAUGUGCCACAUUUUUAUUUCGAACAGACGAAACUCGUAGCCUUCGUGUAAUAUAGGUAUAUGUUUCUCGAUCGUCUCAUCUUUCGUACGAAACGAUGCAAAAUUUCCCAGAAAAGAUACGUCUUUGUUGUUUUAAUCGCAAUUAGGUUGAUCAGAAAUUGUUGUCAUUCUUGUUGUGUGAAAGAGAUCAGGUUGAUUUCUUUGACUGAAAUUUCCAUUAAUAGUAGAACUAUAACGUACUAAAUAUAGAAUAUAGCUAGACAAAAAUAUAAAAUUUGUACCAAAAGAAAAGAAAAUGGAAGAUAAUCAAAAAAGAUACAUCAUAUAAUUCUCGUGUUUCUCUUAAUUACAAGAACUCGUCGUUGUCUAUCUUAGGAUUUCAGUAGCGUGAAUAUAUCAUGUUUGAAAAGAUCAUUAAAAGUUCACAAAGAGAUAGAGAUGCGGUAGUUGUCAAAAGCUGCGCAGUGUAAUUUUAUAACCUUGGUGAAAUAAAGAGUCUUUGAGAAUAAACUCGUUAUACAAA